rnacentral:rRNA from 1 species
CUACGGGGGGCACCAGUGAGGAAUAUUGCACAAUGGGGGGAACCCUGAUGCAGCAACGCCGCGUGGAGGAUGACGCAUUUCGGUGUGUAAACUCCUUUUAUAUGUCAAGAAAAUGACGGUAGCAUAUGAAUAAGCACCGGCUAACUCCGUGCCAGCAGCCGCGGUAAUACGGAGGGUGCAGGCGUUACUCGGAAUCACUGGGCGUAAAGGACGCGUAGGCGGGUUGGAAAGUCAGGUGUGAAAUCCUACAGCUUAACUGCCGAACUGCACUUGAAACUUCUAAUCUAGAGUAUGGGAGGGGGAGAUGGAAUUAGUGGUGUAGGGGUAAAAUCCGUAGAUAUCACUAGGAAUACCUAAAGCGAAGGCGAUCUCCUGGAACAUUACUGACGCUAAGGCGUGAAAGCGUGGGGAGCAAACAGGAUUAGAUACCCCAGUAGUC